CGGAGGGCACUCCCGAGUGACCAAGUCUUUAUGUGCUGAAAGAUGGUCUCGCGCCUGAUUAGCUAGAUGGCGGGGUAACGGCCCACCAUGGCGACGAUCAGUAGCCGGUCUGAGAGGAUGAACGGCCACAUUGGGACUGAGAUACGGCCCAGACUCCUACGGGAGGCAGCAGUGGGGAAUAUUGGGCAAUGGGGGAAACCCUGACCCAGCAACGCCGCGUGAAGGAAGAAGGCCUUCGGGUUGUAAACUUCUUUUACCAGGGACGAAGAACGUGACGGUACCUGGAGAAAAAGCAACGGCUAACUACGUG
rnacentral:rRNA from 1 species